GGUGUUUACUGUCGAACUGAACACUCUACCGUUUACUGUCUGGUGGUGCUCUUCACCGAGUGUCACCAGUGGUCGGUACGUUUACUUUGAAAAAAUUAGAGUGCUCAAAGCGGUUUUUACACGACCGAAUACUGUUGCAUGGAAUAAUGAAAUAGGACUUUGGUUCUAUUUUGUUGGUCUUCGGAACCAAGGUAAUGAUUAAGAGGGACAGACGGGGGCAUUAGUAUUGCGACGCUAGAGGUGAAAUUCUUGGACCGUCGCAAGACUAACUAAAGCGAAAGCAUUUGCCAAGAAUGUUUUCAUUAAUCAAGAACGAAAGUUAGAGGUUCGAAGGCGAUCAGAUACCGCCCUAGUUCUAACCAUAAACGAUGCCAACCAGCAAUCAGCCUGUGUUCUCUUGAUGACACGGCUGGCGGCUUCCGGGAAACCAAAGUCUUUCGGUUCCAGGGGAAGUAUGGUUGCAAAGCUGAAACUUAAAGGAAUUGACGGAAGGGCACCACCAGGUGUGGAGCCUGCGGCUUAAUUUGACUCAACACGGGGAAACUCACCAGGUCCAGACAUAACUAGGAUUGACAGAUUGAUAGCUCUUUCAUGAUUUUAUGGGUGGUGGUGCAUGGCCGUUCUUAGUUGGUGGAGUGAUUUGUCUGGUUAAUUCCGAUAACGAACGAGACCUUAACCUGCUAAAUAGCCAGGCUGGCUUUGGCUAGUCUCCGGCUUCUUAGAGGGACUAUCGG
rnacentral:rRNA from 1 species